rnacentral:rRNA from 1 species
GAACGCUAGCGGCAGGCUUAACACAUGCAAGGUCGAGGGGCAGCAAGAAUUGUGCUUGCACAAGUUUGUUGGCCGACCGGCGCACGGGUGCGUAACGCGUAUGCAACCUACCUUUAACAGGGGGAUAACACUGAGAAAUUGGUACUAAUACCCCAUAAUACUUUGAAAGGCAUCUUUCGGAGUUGAAAGUUCCGGCGGUUAGAGAUGGGCAUGCGUUGUAUUAGCUAGAUGGUGAGGUAACGGCUCACCAUGGCGACGAUACAUAGGGGGACUGAGAGGUUAACCCCCCACAUUGGUACUGAGACACGGACCAAACUCCUACGGGAGGCAGCAGUGAGGAAUAUUGGUCAAUGGACGCAAGUCUGAACCAGCCAUGCCGCGUGCAGGAUGACGGCUCUAUGAGUUGUAAACUGCUUUUGUAUUAGGGUAAACCUUAGUACGUGUACUAAGCUGAAAGUAUAAUACGGAUAAGGAUCGGCUAACUCCGUG